rnacentral:tRNA from 1 species
GCAAUGAAAGCUUAGAUCCGAAGCGUCGGCCUUGUAAGCCGAAAAUCGAAAAUAUCACUUUUCUCAUUGCU